CAAGAGGGCUCCCUUUCACCUCUAAGAGCAGCCUCAACAGCCAGCAGGCCCAGAGUGACUGCCUGACCUAGAUGCCUCUCAGGAACGAGCCUACUAUUCAUUAACAAGCCCAGUUAUUUUACGGGCCAAUUAACUUGGGAGGCCGUGGAAGGGAAAUUCCGACGUUGUGGUCCAAUGGGUGGUGGUGGAGUAUCUUCUCUUGGAAAAACAAAUCAACUGUGUUAACAUCAACAAGGAAGUCUUCUCUGGAAUGAAGCUGUAUCUGUAGAAUGCAAAAUCCAAAAGCUGGAGCAUUCUCUUCUGUCUGCAUUUUGAAUCUUAGGAAAGCAUCCAGUUACCAUCACGGACCUCCAGCUCGUUUUCUCCCAAGGAGCCAUUUCUUCGGGAGGAGGAGUUCGUCUGCCUCCGUCCAAAGUCUACCAAUCUCUCAAGGAGCAACUCUUCUAGGAAGUCUUCCCUGACUACCUUUCCCAGCUUGG